GCCCGGAUGAGCCUCAGUGGUUUGGGGUGCAGGCUUCAAACCUGUAGCCGACUAACGUCGGAGUGGUUCGAUUCCACCCUUCGGGC
rfam:Biomphalaria glabrata isolate BB02 unplaced genomic scaffold LGTN_random_Scaffold971, whole genome shotgun sequence.